rnacentral:rRNA from 1 species
UACGAAGGGGGCUAGCGUUGUUCGGAAUCAUUGGGCUUAAAGGGCGCGUAGGCGGGCGACCGCGUCGAGUGCUGAAAGCCCCCGGCUCAACCGGGGAACGGGCCUCGAUACGGGUCGCCUCGAGGCGAGGAGGGGGACCUGGAACUUCCGGUGGAGCGGUGAAAUGCGUUGAGAUCGGAAGGAACGCCGAUGGCGAAAGCAAGGUCCUGGACUCGUCCUGACGCUGAGGCGCGAAAGCCAGGGGAGCGAACGGG